rfam:Aedes aegypti strain Liverpool supercont1.576 genomic scaffold, whole genome shotgun sequence.
CAAUCGGCCCUUUUAGGGCCAACCAAUGUGUUCUAAAAAGCUAUUU